rnacentral:rRNA from 1 species
UCGGGAAUUUUGGGCAAUGGGCGAAAGCCUGACCCAGCAACGCCGCGUGAAGGAUGAAGUAUUUCGGUAUGUAAACUUCGUAAGAAUAGGAAGAAUAAAUGACGGUACUAUUUGUAAGGUCCGGCUAACUACGUGCCAGCAGCCGCGGUAAUACGUAGGGACCAAGCGUUAUCCGGAAUCACUGGGCGUAAAGGGUGUCGAGGCGGUUGUAUUAGUCGUUCGUAAAAUCUACGAGCUUAACUUGUAGGCGGCGAACGAAACGGUACGACUUGAGGUUUGGAGAGGUGCGUGGAACUCACGGUGUAGGGGUGAAAUCCGUUGAUAUCGUGGGGAACACCAAAGGCGAAGGCAGCGCACUGGCCAAAAUCUGACGCUCACACACGAAAGCUAGGGUAGCGAAGAGGAUUAGAUACCCUGGUAGUCCCUGAGCGGGCUGGCAAGGCGCAU